UAAGGAAUAUUGGUCAAUGGACGCAAGUCUGAACCAGCCAUGCCGCGUGAAGGAUGAAGGUCCUCUGGAUUGUAAACUUCUUUUAUCUGGGACGAAAACGGGAUUUUUAUCUCAAUUGACGGUACCAGAGGAAUGAGCACCGGCUAACUCCGUGCCAGCAGCCGCGGUAAUACGGAGGGUGCGAGCGUUAUCCGGAUUUACUGGGUUUAAAGGGUGCGUAGGUGGGCUUAUAAGUCAGUGGUGAAAUCUCCGAGCUUAACUUGGAAACUGCCGUUGAUACUAUAGGUCUUGAAUUAUCUGGAGGUAAGCGGAAUAUGUCAUGUAGCGGUGAAAUGCUUAGAUAUGACAUAGAACACCAAUUGCGAAGGCAGCUUACUACAUAUAAAUUGACGCUGAGGCACGAAAGCGUGGGGAUCAAACA
rnacentral:rRNA from 1 species